rnacentral:rRNA from 1 species
CACCGCGGUUAUACGAGAGGCCCCAGUUGCUAGCCACCGGCGUAAAGGGUGGUUAAGGAAAGCAAAAAUAAAGCCAAAGGGUCUUUUAGCCGUCAUACGCUCCUGAGCAUCCGAAGCCCAAAAACGAAAGUAGCUUUAAUACAGCCCACCUGAACCCACGAAAACUGAGAAA